rnacentral:rRNA from 1 species
AUUGAACGCUGGCGGCAGGCUUAACACAUGCAAGUCGAACGAUGACUAACUAGCUUGCUAGUUAUGAUUAGUGGCGGACGGGUGAGUAACAUUUAGGAAUCUGCCUAGUAGUGGGGGAUAGCUCGGGGAAACUCGAAUUAAUACCGCAUACGACCUACGGGUGAAAGGGGGCGCAAGCUCUUGCUAUUAGAUGAGCCUAAAUCAGAUUAGCUAGUUGGUGGGGUAAAGGCCUACCAAGGCGACGAUCUGUAACUGGUCUGAGAGGAUGAUCAGUCACACCGGAACUGAGACACGGUCCGGACUCCUACGGGAGGCAGCAGUGGGGAAUAUUGGACAAUGGGGGCAACCCUGAUCCAGCCAUGCCGCGUGUGUGAAGAAGGCCUUUUGGUUGUAAAGCACUUUAAGCAGGGAGGAGAGGCUAAUGGUUAAUACCCAUUAGAUUAGACGUUACCUGCAGAAUAAGCACCGGCUAACUCUGUGCCAGCAGCCGCGGUAAUACAGAGGGUGCGAGCGUUAAUCGGAAUUACUGGGCGUAAAGCGAGUGUAGGUGGCUCAUUAAGUCACAUGUGAAAUCCCCGGGCUUAACCUGGGAACUGCAUGUGAUACUGGUGGUGCUAGAAUAUGUGAGAGGGAAGUAGAAUUCCAGGUGUAGCGGUGAAAUGCGUAGAGAUCUGGAGGAAUACCGAUGGCGAAGGCAGCUUCCUGGCAUAAUAUUGACACUGAGAUUCGAAAGCGUGGGUAGCAAACAGGAUUAGAUACCCUGGUAGUCCACGCCGUAAACGAUGUCUACUAGCCGUUGGGGUCCUUGAGACUUUAGUGGCGCAGUUAACGCGAUAAGUAGACCGCCUGGGGAGUACGGCCGCAAGGUUAAAACUCAAAUGAAUUGACGGGGGCCCGCACAAGCGGUGGAGCAUGUGGUUUAAUUCGAUGCAACGCGAAGAACCUUACCUGGUCUUGACAUAGUGAGAAUCCUGCAGAGAUGCGGGAGUGCCUUCGGGAAUUCACAUACAGGUGCUGCAUGGCUGUCGUCAGCUCGUGUCGUGAGAUGUUGGGUUAAGUCCCGCAACGAGCGCAACCCUUUUCCUUAUUUGCCAGCGGGUUAAGCCGGGAACUUUAAGGAUACUGCCAGUGACAAACUGGAGGAAGGCGGGGACGACGUCAAGUCAUCAUGGCCCUUACGACCAGGGCUACACACGUGCUACAAUGGUAGGUACAGAGGGUUGCUACACAGCGAUGUGAUGCUAAUCUCAAAAAGCCUAUCGUAGUCCGGAUUGGAGUCUGCAACUCGACUCCAUGAAGUCGGAAUCGCUAGUAAUCGCAGAUCAGAAUGCUGCGGUGAAUACGUUCCCGGGCCU